UACGUAGGGGGCAAGCGUUGUCCGGAUUUAUUGGGCGUAAAGAGCGUGUAGGCGGCCAUACAGGUCCGUUGUGAAAACUGGAGGCUUAACCUCCAGACGUCGAUGGAAACCGUAUGGCUAGAGUCCGGAAGAGGAGAGUGGAAUUCCUGGUGUAGCGGUGAGAUGCGCAGAUAUCAGGAAGAACACCCGUGGCGAAGGCGGCUCUCUGGGACGGUACUGACGCUGAGACGCGAAAGCGUGGGGAGCGAACAGG
rnacentral:rRNA from 1 species